AUUGAACGCUGGCGGCAGGCCUAACACAUGCAAGUCGAGCGGAGCGGCGGACGGGUGAGUAAUGCCUAGGAAUCUGCCUGGUAGUGGGGGGUAACGUACGGAAACGGGCGCUAAUACCGCAUACUAUCACACGAGCCUAGGUCGGAUGAGCUAGUUGGUGGGGUAAAGGCCUACAAAGGCGACGAUCGGUACCUGGGCUGAGAGGAUGAUCAGCCACACUGGAACUGAGACACGGUCCAGACUCCUACGGGAGGCAGCAGUGGGGAAUGUUGGACAAUGGGCGAAAGCCUGAUCCAGCCAUGCCGCGUGUGUGAAGAAGGUCUUCGGUUUGUAAAGCACUUUAAGUUGGGAGGCGGUACCAGCAGAAAAAGCACCGGCUAACUUCGUGCCAGCAGCCGCGGUAAUAC
rnacentral:rRNA from 1 species